GCCGGGAACCGGUUGAGGAGGGGGGGGCGGAAAACCGCGGGAAAAACCGGUCCGAGCCGGCGCCGCGUUGUUGUUUGUUCGCCGCGGAAAUUUAUUUUUGUGAUUUUUUUUUUUUUAAAUUUGAUUUUUUAUUUUUUUUCCAUCUGUGAUCCGGUUUUUUCCCGAUUUUUUUUUUUUUUCUGCCGGUUCCCGGAUGGACGCAGCGCGCGCAGCCGCAGGAUUCGAACCUGGUUCCGCGCCGAGGACCCGCGACGCCCGGGUCGUGUGUGGGACGAAGGUGACGGCCGGGCGACAUCAUCCGUGUUGUCGGGCGACGUCAUCCCGUGGUAUCGGUGACAUCCCGUUCAUCGGGCGACAUCAUCAUGUUAGCCGGUGACAUCAUUACGUGUUAUCGGGCGACAUCGUCACAUGGUGACAUCAUCGCAUUAUCGGUGACAUCAUCACGUGUCGUCGGGCGACAUCGUCGCGUUAUCAGGUGACGUCGUUCCCAACCGUCGUGUGACAUCAUCAUGUCAGUCAUGACAUCGACUUGU